GAUGGACGCUAGCGGCAGGCUUAAUACAUGCAAGUCGAGGGGUAGAAAGGAGCUUGCUCUUUUUGAGACCGGCAAACGGGUGCGGAACACGUACACAACCUUCCUUUUAGUGGGGGAUAGCCCAGGGAAACUUGGAUUAAUACCCCGUAACAUGUUUGUAAGGCAUCUUACGAAUAUUAUAGUGGCAACACGCUAGAAGACGGGUGUGCGUAUGAUUAGGUAGUUGGCGGGGUAACGGCCCACCAAGCCAACGAUCAUUAACUGGUGUGAGAGCACGACCAGUCACACGGGCACUGAGACACGGGCCCGACUCCUACGGGAGGCAGCAGUAAGGAAUAUUGGUCAAUGGAGGAAACUCUGAACCAGCCAUGCCGCGUGGAGGAUGACGGCCCUCUGGGUUGUAAACUUCUUUUAUAUGGGACGAAAAAGGGGAACUCUUUCUCAACUGACGGUACCAUAUGAAUAAGCACCGGCUAACUCCGUGCCAGCCGCCGCAGUAA
rnacentral:rRNA from 1 species